CGGUGUUCAACUGGCGUGCCCGCGGGACGUCCUGCCGGUGAGCUCAGCCCGCGAGGGCGGCUCAACUUGAAAUCCCAUCGCGGUGCUCUUCAUUGAGUGUCGAGGUGGGCCGGCACGAUUACUUUUGAACAAAUUAGAGUGCUUAAAGCAGGCUAAAAUUUUGCCUGAAUACUGUGUAUAUGGAAUAAUGGAAUAGGACCUCGGUUCUAUUUUGUUGGUUUUCGGAACCCCCGAGGUAAUGAUUAAUAGGAACGGAUGGGGGCAUUCGUAUUGCGACGUUAGAGGUGAAAUUCUUGGAUCGUCGCAAGACGGACUAAAGCGAAAGCAUUUGCCAAAAACGCUUUCAUUGAUCAAGAACGAAAGUUAGAGGUUCGAAGGCGAUCAGAUACCGCCCUAGUUCUAACCAUAAACUAUGCCAGCUAGCGAUCCGCCGACGUCCCUCUGAUGACUCGGGCGGGCAGCUUCCGGGAAACCAAAGCUUUUGGGUUCCGGGGGAAGUAUGGUUGCAAAGCUGAAACUUAAAGGAAUUGACGGAAGGGCACCACCAGGAGUGGAGCCUGCGGCUUAAUUUGACUCAACACGGGAAACCUCACCAGGCCCAGACACUGGAAGGAUUGACAGAUUGAGAGCUCUUUCUUGAUUCAGUGGGUGGUGGUGCAUGGCCGUUCUUAGUCGGUGGAGCGAUUUGUCAGGUUAAUUCCGAUAACGGACGAGACUCUGACCUGAUAACUAGACGCACUUGCGGCAUCUCAAAGGUCCGCCGGCGGCUGGCUUUGCGCCCGUCGUCGCGCGCGAUUUUUACUGCCGGCGUACAAUAAAUUCUUCUUAGAGGGACAAGUGG
rnacentral:rRNA from 1 species